rnacentral:misc_RNA from 1 species
UCGGCGUUGUGGAAGUGUUGACUGGUCUGUUCAGUAGUUAAAGAAGAUGUGUGUGUGCAUGUGUGUGUUUCUUUCUUGAACUCACUCUCCUUCGUCUUUCUCUUCACUUUUGUUCUCUGGGUGUCUUUGCGUGUCUCUGCGUGUUAUUGUACCUGUGUUUCCCUCUCUCAACUCUACACUGUGCUCCAGUGGAUGGAUUGGAUAUUACUGCUGCAUUUGGUGGUGGUGGAGUUCCUGCUGCCUACUCCAGACUGUGGACUAUCUCUCUUGUGAUUGAGAUUCUAUUGGACUGUCUACUCAAGUUGUGCAACGGGAGUGAGAGUGGGAAAGGGACUGAUUCAAUGAAUCUCCUCUUGGCUGCCAAGAAGAAGAAGAAGAAGGAAGAAUUGAAGUGUGUCGGGGUUGGCCUAGUUUUUGAAUGAAAGGAUCGGGUUCUUGGUGGUCCUGGUGUUUGUUUUUGCCAUGGAGACGAGCCUGAACGGCGUCGUGAUUGGAAAGAAAAAGAAGACGAACCUGAGCCGUGACUCCUCCUUCCGAGCCAUGACGGACUACUACGAGACGACGAGCAGCUCUUCCUCCUUCAAGUCCCUGGGGGAAGUGGCGCUCUCUGCUGGCUCUGCUACCAAGGGAAAAGUGAGCAAAAAUCCUUCUCUUCCCCCCUAUGCUCGAAAUGCGGAGUCGAGAGCAUCCUACAACGAACGGAGGUCACGCCCACAGCCCUAUCGCAGCAAUACGAGCCUGGAUGACCCUCCAGACAAGGAAACUCCCCUGAGAGAGUACGGAAGUCACGGAUCUCUGGACGUUUUGUCGCGUUUUGAUCCUCCUCCUGUGGCAGUGAGUACUCUUCAGCGCAAGUCGGAGGAGCAACAUCCUCCGGAGCAAGCCUCUCCCAAAUCAAAAAAAAAGACUUUUUUCAAUGAAAAGUCCCUCUUUAAAAAGUUUCGAGGGCAUCCCAAAGAAACGGAGGAGCUGGACGUUCGCUCCUCUCACCCCAUUUACCAUCACCAUCAUCCUAAUAAUAACAACAACACAAUUCACCACCAUCUUCAUCAUCAUAAAACACCUGAAGAUCGACAUCGACGACGUUUCUUCGCUCAUUAUGAUAUUUCUAGUGUUUGUGCUUCCCUCAGUCCUACGGGACAUCUAAAAACAUUGGAACGAAGAAAUACAACGACAGGGGCCUCUGCUGCCUCGGCAGCACUACGCCAUAGUCGAGAGACAUCGGAAUCUUCUGCAGAUGCAGAUCAAGGAGAUCAUAUUAGCAAUAAACUUGUACUCAGCUGUCCUUACUUUAGAAACGAAGUUGGUGGAGAAGUAGAACGGAAUGUAGCGUUGAGUCGAGAAACUUGUCAAAAAAGAAAUUCAAUUUCACAUAGACAUUCUGAGAACUCGAACACUACUGCCUGGCAUACACCUGCUAUGGCCAGAGGAUUUUCCCUGCUCGAUAAUGAGGAAUCUUAUUGGAAAAACGGUUAUUGUCCCUAUCGUAAAGUACCUACGAAUAUUGUCGAAAGAGUUGAUCAAGGAGCAUCUUUUUUCAAAAAACAUUUUUAUGGGAAAGAACAUCAAAACUGGUUUGGUAUAGAUGAGAAUCUCGGGGCAGUUGCUAUAUCCAUUCGUAGAGAAAAAGUAGUCCAUGAUAUUUUUGGUUCUGGAGUUGGAUUGGAUGAUCCUAUGAAAGAUCAAUACAUGUAUAGGAUAAUGUUUCGGAGCUCGGAACUUUUACCUCUUCGAGGAUGUGUAUUGGAGGAGUCAAUUCCUGCUUUAAAGUCGGAAAAAAUCAAAACAAUUCCCACAAAGGAAGUUCUGGAGUUUAUUUGCCCUGAGCUCACUUUAUCUAGUCUACAUUUGGGUGUUCAAUCUAGUGCCUGUGAGGAGGAACUGAUCAAAUUGGAUGAGGCCUAUGUUCAUAAUAAGUACAAAGUUGGAUUAAUGUAUUGCCGCGAAGGUCAGCAAACUGAAGAAGAAAUGUAUAAUAAUGAGGAGGGAGGUGCAGCUUUCAACGAAUUCUUGGAAAUGAUUGGACAAAAAGUAAGACUUAAAGGUUUUUCCAAGUACAAAGCUGGUCUCUGCAACAAAAAUGAUUCGACGGGUUUAUAUUCUGUAUACACUGAGCAUGAAAACGGUAGUGAAAUCAUGUUUCAUGUCUCCACACUCCUCCCAUUUACAAACAGUAAUCGGCAGCAACUGCCUCGCAAACGAUAUAUUGGCAAUGAUAUUGUUACAGUUGUCUUCCAAGAGCCUGGAGCUUUACCCUUUAUUCCCAACAUCAAGUCUCAAUUCCAACAUGUUUUUAUCGUUGUUCAAGCUCAUAAUCCUUGUAGUGAGAAUACUCAGUAUAGUGUGGCUGUAAGUCGCUCUAAAUCCGUUCCAAUGUUUGGACCACCCAUCCCAGAGGGUGCCAUGUUCCCCAAGUCAAAAGCAUUUGCUAAUUUUCUAUUAACCAAAAUUAUAAAUGCUGAGAAUGCAGCUCAUCACUCGGACAAAUUUGUCAGUAUGGCUAUAAGAACCCGGCAGGAACUUUUAAAGGAUUUGACAACUAAUUUCAGCUCACCUACAACUCUUGAAUCUGGCUCAAAAUUCAGUAUUUUCGGUCCAAAAAAGAAAGAUAAGUUAAAGCCAAGAUUUUCACCUGAUGCAUCUCUUAGAGGUGCUUUAUCCUGGCGAGUUGUUGCCGAAGAUUGUUUAACUCGUCAGGAAGUCUAUGCAUUUGUUGCUAUUUCAGCAGAUUCUAUUAUCCUUGUAUUGGAUAAUGUUCAUCGUGACGUUAUGUUUGUAACAACAACUAGAUCAAUAUUGGGAUGGACAGCACUGGCAAACUCAAUCCGUAUUUAUUUUCAUCAAGGUGAAGCGCUAAUUUUGCACUCAAAAGAUUGGGAGACUGAAGAUAUGUCUGAAAUCGCUCAAAGGUUAAAGGCUGUAACGACUGGAGCUCCAACUCAAGAAUUUACUCUACGGCGCAACCAGAUGGGACAGCUUGGCUUCCAUGUUCAACAUGAUGGCCUUAUUACUGAAGUUGAAAAUUAUGGUUAUGCCUGGCAAACUGGUCUAAGACAAGGCUCAAGACUUGUUGAAAUUUGCAAACAUCAUGUAACUACAUUAACCCACGAGCAUAUGGUGGAUUUGCUUAAAACAUCCAUGACUGUAACUGUAACUGUGAUACCUCCUCACCCUGAUGGAUCCCCAAGAGUUGGGUGUAAUUUGAAAAAUUGUCCUCAUCCUUAUGGAAGUCCAUCUGAAGGAGACUAUGAGAACUUAAGCAAUUCUUCUUCAAAUGUUGGAGAUAGCAAAAUUGAAGGCAGCAACUCUGUAGAAACUAAGCAAGGAUGUGCACAGCAACCAUCCAAUAGUAAAAUGUGUUAUGAGAGAAGUGUUAGUCCUCCUAGGUCGACUGGUUCGUCUGGAUAUGGUACUGGUUCAAGUAGGAAGUCUUUAACAGAACAACGGUUCCCUGUUAUAUCCCAAGAGAAUACACUCACAAGCUCAUCCUCUGGGCAUUCAAGUGAUGAUCGAUGGUACGAUUUUUCGGAUCAUAAUCAUGUUAAUAAUGCUUUGGAAUCCAACAGUGAGUCUACAACUCCACCUCCUCUUCCAAAUCGGGUUCUAGGUAAUAAGCUAUAUCCAGUUCAAACGCAACAAAUUGGUUUACCUUCUGUUUAUCCUCGCACUUCGUAUUCCUCAUCACUUUACUUCGAUUCAUCUAAUUCCAACCCAAAUAAAUUUGAUUAUGGAGAAGAGAAACGAACAAAUGAUGCAAAAGUCACUUAUCUCACCGAAUAUGAGUUAAAUCAACCUUCAACUAAACCUGUCGAUCUUGUAUUACAGCAUGAAAGACUUGCUGCUCUUAAAACAUCAUCUGCCUCUUCUACUCCUGUAUCUACAACCUCUUAUGUCAUUGAUGGAGGUAAUACUACUGACUCAAGUUCCAACAGCAAUGAGAGAAUACCUCCACAAAGAAGUGAAGAUGAGUUGUCAGCAAGUAGCAUUAGUUUGUCACCACAGCGUCAAAGACGUACUUAUGGAGGAGGAUCUUUGACUCCUUCUAGUCAAGGUUCUCGAAAUCAAAGUCCCAAAAACGUAUUACUCAGAUCAUCCUAUGAUGGUGAUGUCCAACCCAAAAAGAAAUUAGUUGCUCGCAGUUCAAAUCGUAACUCUGCAAGCCUCAACUCCAAUACUCUUCAAGAAAAUCUCAUGAAACUAAUUGGGCCUGAGCUAAAUGAGGAUAAUAACUCUAAAGUUGGCAGCAACACUCCACUCGUUUCCUCUACUGCUUCAUCCUCAAUUAUGAAAAAAUGUGGGGGAAUACGUCAUCGACAAUUUCUUUAUAACAUAUUGGCGAUGCUUGUACCAUCAUUUGCGUUUUGUACCGUUUUUCAUGCGUCAGCACCAGUGUACUACCGGUAUAUCGUACAACACUACCACCUUGUAUCAUUUUAAUUAAAUAAAUGCACUUUGAGGAGGAUUACAGAUAUCAAGGAGUGUUCCCUGUCCAGAUGCUCAAAAUGCUGAAGGGAAGGGGAUGCAAUUCAUAAAUUAUAUGAAGCACUGCCAUAGCUUAUGAAAGUAUUUCACCGGGAAAGACUCCUCCUCGCAAACUUGGAACGGAACUAAGUUUGGUUAAAUCCCGUUCCAGAGAGAAUAUAUCUCAAAGUCUGACUACAAGUCCUGAAUCCGUUAAUUUCUUUCACAUAGCUCGUCCAGCAACUGUAUUAUCCACUACUUCAUCAUCCUUAAGUCCAAACAACAAUAUCAA